rnacentral:tRNA from 1 species
GAGGGGUGACCGUUAGGCUGCUAACCUGACACCACCCAAGACUAACCACUUGGCCCCCU